CAAUAGCGUAUAUUAAAGUUGUUGCGGUUAAAAAGCUCGUAGUUGGAUUUCUGGUAGGAGUGACCGUUCCGAACUUGAUUGUUCGUGUAUUGUGUUUUCUCCAGUCAUCCUUGUGGAGAACUUUUCUUGCAUUAAUUUGUAGGGAUUGGGACCCGCAUCGUUUACUGUGAAAAAAUUAGAGUGUUUAAAGCAGGCAAUCGCUUGAAUACAUUAGCAUGGAAUAAUAAGAUAGGACUUUGGUACUAUUUUGUUGGUUUGCAUACCAAAUUAAUGAUCAACAGGAACAGUUUGAGGAUAUUCGUAUGAACAUGUCAGAGGUGAAAUUCUUGGAUUUUGAUCAGACGAACUACUGCGAAAGCAUUUGUCAAGGAUGUUUUCAUUAA
rnacentral:rRNA from 1 species